rnacentral:tRNA from 4 species
GCGGGGUGGAGCAGUCUGGUAGCUCGUCGGGCUCAUAACCCGAAGGUCGUUGGUUCAAAUCC